rnacentral:lncRNA from 1 species
UCCUGGCAGAGGGGAAGAACAGAUGGAACUGGGUGGUGCAAAGGCUCAGACAGCUGCCGGAGCCUCAGCGUCAGGAGCAGUCAAAGCGAAGCCUCCUAGAGGGACCAGGAAGUGUUACAUCUGUGACAGUGCACGGCACAUGGCUAAAGAGUGUCCCCAGAGGCUCCAGAAGCACACUGCAGCCUUAGCAACAGUAACAGGGGAAGCUUUCCAAGGGGAGCAGUUUCAGGGAAACGAGAAUGCCUGGUUGGAGGGAGAGACGCUGGGAAUCCACCAGGCACGUCAAUGAAGCAGUCCCCAGCGCUUUUGCAGCCUACAGACCCCUUACCACCUAAGCCAGUGGUGCAGCUCACUGCUACUCUCCAGCUGCCUAAUGGACUCACCCUGGAAGUCCCCAUUACGAUUGACUCAGGGAGCAACGCUGACUUCGUGGGGGUGCAGUUCGUCAAGCAGCAUCGCAUAGCGCUACUACCAGCCACGCUGCCUCUGAAUGUGGUCACUGUAGAUGGCAGGAAGUUGCUGGGUGGGCAAGUGGUACAACAGACGCCAUCCAUGCUGCUGAAAAUUGGGAAUCAUCGCGAGGUCAUCAGUUUCAAUGUCACCCAACUGUCAGACACGCCCAUAGUGCUAGGCAUGAGUUGGCUGGAUAGACACAGUCCAUCCUUGGCGUGGUACCAGCGGCAGCUCACCUUUGGCUCGUCCUACUGUGCACAACAUUGCAUCCAGAUUGGUGAGGACGAGGAGGGCCGGGAGGAAGGGCAACAGCUGCAUCUAGGCAUGGUGCAGGCAGUGCCCCACAAAUACAAGGGAUUUUUGGAGGUCUUCUGCGAGAAGGAAGCUGACCAAUUACCACCCCACAGGCCCUAUGACUGUGCAAUUGACCUCUUACCAGGGGCAACGCUACCGACUGCGAAGCUGUAUUCCAUGUCUGAAGAUGAGAUGCAGGAGCUCAGGGAGUUCAUAGAUCACAAUUUGAAGCGGGGAUUCAUCCGAGAAUCCAAGGCAGUGGGGGGCAGUCCUGUGUUUUUUGUGAAGAAGAAGGACACGCCCCAAAAACGACUCAUUGUGGACUAUAGGGCCAUAAACUCGAUGACAAAACCCAAGGCUUUCCCCAUGCCCAAGAUUGACGACCUGCUCGCGACGGUGAGGAAGGGGAGGAUCUUCACCAAGUUGGAUCUACGCGGAGCCUACAAUCUCAUACGCAUGAGGGAAGGUGACGAGUGGAAGACGGCCAUGUUCACGCCGCUGGGCACCUAUGAAUACAGAGUUAUGCCGUUUGGUCUCCAAGGUGGCUCCCACCAUUUUCAAGCAUUCAUGCACCACGUGCUAGCAGGACUCCUCUACAAGAAGUGCGUAUGCUUUCUCGACGAUAUUCUGAUCUUCUCGGAAUCGCAGGAGACUCACGAAACAGACGUAAAGGAGGUCCUGCAGAGGCUACGGGAGCACAGACUCUACGCCAAGCUGGAGAAGUGCCAGUUCGACGUGACGGAGGUGGAUUUCCUGGGCUACCGGCUGUCCGACAAGGGCCUAGCCAUGGACAGCGCCAAGGUCCGCGCGGUGUUGGACUGGAAUAGCCCGCGCAAUCGGAAGGAGGUCCAGAGGUUCGUCGGCUUCGCCAACUUUUACCGCAAGUUCAUCAGGGGUUUCGCGAAAGAGACGGCAGCUAUCACGGACACCCUCAGUUCCAAGAAGAAAAAGUUCACCUGGACGGACCAGGCGGAGCAGUCCUUCAGGAGGCUUAAGAGUCUCUUCGCGUCCGAAGACCAGCUGCUACACGUGAAUCCUGGCAGGCCCAUGCGGGUUGAGACUGACGCAUCUGACAGAGCAGUGGGGGCCGUCCUCUUGCAGGAAGAUUCGCAAGGGAACUGGAGGCCCUGCGCUUUCUACUCACGGAAGCUCAGCAAGUCGGAACAGAACUACACCAUCUGGGACAGGGAGUUGUUGGCCAUCCACGCGGCUUUCAAGGCGUGGCGGCACUUCCUCAUCGGAGCCAAGCACACCGUGCAGGUCCGCACGGACCACAAGAACCUGGAGUAUUGGCGCACGGCGAAGCUCCAGAGCCAGAGGCACAUGAGAUGGGCGGAGUUCUUUGCGGAUUUCGAUUUCCGGAUAGAGUAUAUCCCGGGAGACAACAACAUCAUAGCGGAUGCGCUCUCCAGAAAACCGCAGUAUCUUGAGGAAGCGGCACCAGUGGCAGCCAGGCACAUUUUUGCACCGCAAGCGUGGGCGUGCGCUUCUGCCGCCGUGGACCUGGACGCGGUACGACGCGCGCUACAGACGGACCCGUUUGCACAAUCCAAGAUGGAGGAGGUGCGAAGAGGGACAGCAAAGGACGGCGAAUUCCAGAUACGCGACGGCCUACUGACCCGCAAAGGUGCUCUCUAUGUCCCAGGGGACGAUCUCCGAGCGAAGGUUCUACAGCAGUUGCACGACGCCCCAGCGCGGGUCACUUCGGCAAGGAGAAGACGGCGGACUUAGUAGCCAGGGACUUUUGGUGGCCCCAGAUGCGGGGAGAAGUCGCGGAUUACGUCGCCAGGUGUGACACUUGUCAGAGGUCCAAGCCAGUGCACAAGAAGCCAGCGGGAUUGCUGGAACCGCUGGAGACGCCACUGCAGCCGUGGGAAAGGGUGGCGCUGGACUUUGUCACUGAUCUGCCCAGUUCGCGGGGCAAGACGGCGGUGCUUGUGGUUGUAGAUCUGUUCACCAAGAUGGCGCAUUUCAUUCCUUGCGCGAAGGUGGCAACAGCGGAGCAGACCGCCAGGCUAUUCAUAGACCACGUGUUCCGGGUGCACGGCUUACCACGGUCCAUUUUGUCCGACCGGGGUCGCCAAUUCAUUUCCAGUUUCUGGCAGAAGCUCCUGGGCAUCCUGAAUGUCAGGAUCAACUUAGCGUCGGCGAGACACCCCCAAACCAACGGCCAAGCGGAGAGGGUCAACGCCAUCAUGCAGCAGUACCUGCGAUGUUACGCCAAUCAAAAGCCUGCAACUUGGGUGGACUACUUACCGAUGGCCGAGUUUGCCUACAACAACACGAAGCACGCGUCAACGGGGGUGACACCGUUCUUCGCCAACAAUGGGCGACACCCCAGAACAUUCCCGGCGUUGGAGACGACGACGCAGGGGGAGUCGCAGGGAGCGGAACAUUUAGCAGCAGAAUUGCAGGAGGUCCACGAGGAGCUACGACGGCAUUUGGAACUAGCUAAACACGCCUACAAAGUGCAGGCAGACAGGCACAGGAGGGCAGGAGAAGACAUCCAGGUGGGGGACUGGGUAUGGUUAGCAGCCCAGGCGGUGCCGGCCAGGUCGUUAGCUAAGAAGAAGCUAGGACACAAACAGCUAGGGCCAUACCAAGUUGAGGGCAGGGUCAAUCCCGUAGCUUUUGGUUGACCCUCCCAGAGGAUUCCCGAAUGCACCCGGUCUUUCAUAGGUCGGUGCUUACACCCUACAAGGCCCCACACAGAUUUCAGGAGCCAGGGACGGCACCAGACCCGCGUAGGAAGUCACCAGGGGGAAGUCACCGAGGACCCCGACACUCAACGAGGUCACGGAAAUUCUGGACUCGAGAUGGGGGAGGAGGGAGUGGAAUACCUCCUCGCCAAGGAAGGUACCCCGGCUAGCGCCAACAGUUGGGUGCCAGAUUAUGCUCUGGAGGAAUCUUGGCUUAAGGACGAGUUCCAUGCACUCUUCCCGCACAGGCCCAUGCCAGAGGAGUAUUUUGACGACUGGCUUUUUACCCCCACACUUUCGGGCAGCACCUUCAGGGGGUUCUCCUCCGCAGAGGAGACCACGCCGCAAUCGAGCCCUCCAAGGGGAUCGGGCUCGGGGGUGGACACGGACCGCUCUUAUUGGUGGGACGAUCAACCAGAAGUGGGGUGGCGAAGGGGGCCUUGGCAAGCAGCUUCGCCUGAAGUAACAGGGGGAGGGAAGGGUUUGGAGGUGUUGGGGGAGGACCCGGUUUCGAGCACUCCUACACUGAACUGGAAGCAGAGGAGAUCGACGUCGACGAACUGUAUCCAGCAUCUACCCCCGCUACAACGAGGCUCCCGGAACCUGCGCCCGAGCAGCGGGAGGGGGGAAGGGGGGGCUUCGAGGGGGGGAUGGAUGUCAGGGGUUCAGAGAGAGAGGCACAGGGUAGGCAGGAGAUGGAGAGCGAAGGGGAGGAAUUCCAAGCCAGCGAGGAAGAGGACGACAAUGACUCAAGGGAUUCCAUGAGUCUUUCCAGCGAAUCAGAGGAUUCCCAGAAGGGGGCGCCGGUGGUCAGGGCCAGGGGAGCCCCAGGGGGGAAAUGUCAGGAGCAGGGUGCCAGCGGAGGAUCCCAAAGUGGCAGCUGGGCGUCAGGACCAGCCUCCCCACCAAAGUGCAGCGAAGGGGGUGGAGUUUCCAGUGUGUCAGAGGAAGGAGCUCCAGCAGCAGAGAGAGGAGGGGGGUCAGAGCAAGCAGCCCUCCCGGAAAGGGAGGGGAGCAGUGAAGGGAGCAGUGUAACUGUCAAAAGGAAAGUUAGAGGUUUGGCGCGCGCGCCUAGUUCAAAUGUAGAGGCGCGCGGAAGUGCAGGGAGCCCGGAGGAGGGGCCAGGUCCCAAAGCCCGCAGGAGGGGGGGAGCAGCAGUCUGAUUCCGCGUCAGAGGAAUCCAGAAAGGGGCAAACCCCAGGGGGCAGAAAGACCCUGCGGAAAAGGAAGGAGAGAAAGAGGUGGAGCAGCGCAAGUCUCUUAAAUUGGUGCAGAGGAGGGACUGACUCAGACGGGACUUCGGCGGUCUAGCGUAAGAGACGUAAGGCUGCGCGCCUAAGAUGUCAAGCAAACCAUGAACUGCAAUAAACACCUUUGUAUUC